rnacentral:lncRNA from 1 species
UUCUGCCCCUCCCUCACGGAGACUGUGAGGAGUGUGGUCCUCAGCCAGGUAUUUAAAAGAAGGUCUCACGAGGGGAAACGCUAACACUUUCACUGGGUCUUUGCAUAACCAAGCGAGCAGCCAAAUAAAAGCUCUUCCUAAAAGGAUGUAACAGCCAAAUGUCAUGGGUGAUUCCAGAUUGGAUCCUGAAUUAAAAAAAAAAAAAAACUGUCAAAGAUAUUUUGGGACAAUUGAAGACAGUUGACUAUGGAUUGUAUGCUAAUUAGAUCCUCAUCAUUCAGAAUGUAGGCCACUGACCACACCAGCUGCAUCACCUAGGAGCUUGUAAGAAAUGCAGUGAAGGGUCUAGGUGGCUCCGUCAGUUAAGCAUCCGACUUUGGCUCUGAUCAUGAUCUCAGGGGUUUGUGAGUUUGAGCACUGCAUCAGUCUCUGUGCUGUCAGCGCCAAGCCCCCUUCAAAUACUCUCUUUCCCUGUCUCUCUGCCCCUCACUCGCUCCCGUGCACACAUACUCUUUCUCUCUCAAAAAUAAACAUUAAAAAAUAAAUAAAUAAAUUAUGGGCACCUGGGUGGCUUAGUCAGUUAAGCAUCAGACUUCACCUCAGGUCAUGAUCUUGCAGUUGGUCAGUUAGAGCCUGGAGUCAGGCUCUGUGCUGACAGUUCAGAGCCUGGAAUAUUCUGUGUCUCCCUCUUUUCUCUGCCCCUCCCCCACUAGCACCCUGUCUCUCUCUCUCUCUCUCUCUCUCUCUCUCAAAAUAAAUAAACAUUAAAAAUUUUUUUAAAUAAAUAAGUUUAAAACAAUAGAAAUGCAGCAUCAGUCCCCACCCCACGUCGUUUAUAUGCACAUUAAAGAUUGAGAAGCAUGUGUGUGAGUGCUCGUGCAUAUUCCAAGUAGAAUUCAGAGGUAUGUUUGCAAACCAGACUGAAAGUGAUGCUUUUAAAGGAACUGGAUCGUAGAUUCCUACAAGGCACCAUGGACUGUCCUGCUGGAGCCAUUAGUCUUCUAAGUGGAUAGACCAGGUACGGAGCUAUCUACUGCACCAAGAAGAGGAGGAAUGAUGGAAUUAGACCACCCCACAGGAAGAAGCUCCAGGGACCCAAAGGUGCCUGGGGAUUCAUUGUCACUAUGCGACAAGAAGUCAACAAGGUUAGGAGUUUGGGUGUAUCCCCUUAACUUGGUGGGGAUUUUUUUCCCUCAGUUGGAUGACACAGCUUAAAAUUCCUUCCUUCAUGUGUUGUAAUUCCCUCUGGUUUUCCCCAACCCUUUACUGUGGUUGGACAACACCCCUUCAACUUUGUGUUUUGGUGACAGGGGAGAAGUGAGACCUUCCCUGUGGUCACAGCCCUCAGUGGAGGCCUUUGCAGGGGUAGAAGCAUCCAUGGCAGGGGGCAGGGGGCCCUGGGUUCCAGGCUGCAUUUUCUAGAAGGAGAGUUGGCACGUUGCCACUCCUGGGUCUCAUUUAAGUGUCUCUAUCUCCUUGCGGGUCUGAGCCUUGUAUUCAGGAUUACUAACUCUGAGAACUUGUAAGUGCCAAAUCACAGAAGGGGAAGUGGUCAGGAUGAGCCUCCCCCAAGCCCCAUAUUUCUCUAGCUAUAGAGAAUUUGAGUCAUGUUGGGGCAUUUAUUUCACAUAAAGACUAGCAAAACCAAAAAGAACUGAGAAAUUACCUCUCCCCAUUCUUGUUUCCAAAUUCCAUUCAGGUUUGGAACUUAUUUGAACAAUUUUCAUUUUGAAACAUGAAAAGGUGGAAGAUUCCAGCCUCUUUCUGUUAACAGUAGACAAAGAUAAGCAUCUCUCCACAAAGGUACAAGAUUAUGUUACCCUUCUGGAAUCCUGGUAGCCAAUUCAAGUUGUUUUUGAAGCACAAUGCUACCCAUGAGGCCUAAACCAAAAGAACCAGACAUUCCAGAUUGACUCAAAUAAUUCCAUUUUUUAAAUGUAAUGUUCUGGCACCUCUGUGAUUUCCAUAUUUGUUCCAGUUUUCAUCACACCCUGUGAUACUGAAUGGCAACAUCAGGAACAGAAUGCUUCUUUGAAUAACUCAGCUGCCUUCCUACCUUGUGGCUAUCAGGUGUAGGACACAGUUUGUCAGGAAUUAAAAGAAAACACAAUUUCUAUUCAAGAAUUUAAUUCUCUUUCAACACACAUAAAAACGGGAAAAUUUAUUUUGUGGUUUAUUGUGCGGAGGACAAGUCUUCUAAAAAAACCGAAAGAAGGCAAUUCUCAAUGGAAACUAUGGAUCUUUGAUGAACUUUUUAUUUCUGCAUGAUUUGAGAUUUAUGAAGAGCCAGACUAAAACCUAUUUUGUUUUUCACUGUGUCUUAUAAGUAGGGGAAAAAAUGACAUUAGUAACUAUUGAGCCAUGUGACUCUCAAAUACAUAGUAACUUGGCUUUGUAUUCGCCCACAAUGCUUCUAGAAACCCCACGAUAGAAAGGUUAAAUCCUUUUCAUUUUCUUUGGAACUAUUUGGAAACAUUCACAGCUCAGAGCUGGGAUGUCCAUCCUAUAGUUUAUGUAGCAUAACUGUGUUGUCUCUGAUUCUCCAGAACAAGAGUUUACAACCGAACUGGAAAACAACUGUCCUGCGCUACGUCUAGUCUAGCUAUGUAGGCCAGACUUUAUCAGUUUUUGGUACUGCUUGUGAUAAUUACCUCUUGCCAAACAUGCUUGUCUGAAUUAUUCCAUAAAACAUGCUUGAUAAAUGGACUUAUCAAGACCAUUAGGUCUUGAAGAACUUAAAUUAGUCCCAGAUGACUCUCUUUUCAGUUAAAAGAUAAAUUUAAAUAAAAUGUGAAUGUAAACAUAUUUUCAACUCAGAGUUCUAUUUUAACCACUGAAGCACAUUCUGGCA